rnacentral:rRNA from 1 species
CAGGAUGAACGCUAGCGACAGGCCUAACACAUGCAAGUCAGGGGCAGCACAAGGAGCAAUCUGAGGUGGCGACCGGCGCACGGGUGAGUAACACGUAUGCAACCUGCCUGUAAGCGGGGAAUAACCCGUUGAAAGACGGACUAAUACCGCAUAAUACUAAAUUACUGCAUGGUAAUUUAUUUAAACAUUUAUGGCUUACAGAUGGGCAUGCGCAUGAUUAGCUAGUUGGAGAGGUAACGGCUCCCCAAGGCAACGAUCAUUAGGGGUUCUGAGAGGAAGGUCCCCACACUGGUACUGAGACACGGACCAGACUCCUACGGGAGGCAGCAGUGAGGAAUAUUGGUCAAUGGACGAGAGUCUGAACCAGCCAAGUCGCGUGCAGGAAGAAUGUCCUUAAUGGAUUGUAAACUGCUUUUGCAGGGGAAUAAAGUGCAUCACGUGUGAUGUUUUGUAUGUACUCUGCGAAUAUGGAUCGGCUAACUCCGUGCCAGCCGCCGC